rnacentral:rRNA from 1 species
UGAGUAAUAUUGGUCAAUGGACGCAAGUCUGAACCAGCCAAGCAGCGUGCAGGAUGACGGCCCUAUGGGUUGUAAACUGCUUUUAUAUGGGGAUAAAGUGGGGAACGUGUUCCCUUUUGCAGGUACCAUAUGAAUAAGGACCGGCUAAUUCCGUGCCAGCAGCCGCGGUAAUACGGAAGGUUCGGGCGUUAUCCGGAUUUAUUGGGUUUAAAGGGAGCGUAGGCCGUUUGGUAAGCGUGUUGUGAAAUGUAGGAGCUCAACUUCUAGAUUGCAGCGUGAACUGUCAGACUUGAGUGCGCACAACGUAGGCGGAAUUCAUGGUGUAGCGGUGAAAUGCUUAGAUAUCAUGAAGAACUCCGAUUGCGGAGGCAGCUUACGGGAGCGCAACUGACGCUGAAGCUCGAAGGUGCGGGUAUCGAACAGG